rnacentral:rRNA from 1 species
UACGUAGGGGGCAAGCGUUGUCCGGAAUCAUUGGGCGUAAAGAGCGUGUAGGCGGCCCGAUAAGUCCGCCGUGAAAGUCCAGGGCUCAACCCUGGAAUGCCGGUGGAAACUGUCGGGCUGGAGUCCGGAAGAGGCGAGUGGAAUUCCUGGUGUAGCGGUGAAAUGCGCAGAUAUCAGGAGGAACACCAAUGGCGAAGGCAGCUCGCUGGAACGGUACUGACGCUGAGGCGCGAAAGCGUGGGGAGCGAACAGG